GGUUAUUGGAAGACACCUGAUCGGUCCACAUUUCUUACCAGAGCGCCUGACCGGAGAAAAUUAUUUGAAUUUUUUACUCGAAGAUUUACCUGAAUUGGUAUUACCAGUAUUAGAUGGAGAACCAAUUAUUUUCCAAAAUGAUGGCUGUCCAGCACAUUACCAGCGAGACGUGCGAGAACAUUUGGACAACUGUUUUCCAAAUUCAUGGAUCGGAAGAGGCGGCCCAAUUCCUUGGCCUGCACGUUCACCAGACCUGACGCCCUUGGAUUUUUAUGUCUGGGGCCGUGCAAAAGAAAUUGUGUAUGCGACUGAAGUACCCACAAGAGAAAUUUUAAUCGAAAGAAUAAAUUGCGCCUUUGAAAUUAUGAAAGCAGAAAUGCGACUGAGGACGACGACUGUAGAAAUUAGAAAAGAUGCCGUGCAUGCAUUCGCAACAGAGGCAGUCAUUUUGAACAUAAUUUAUAACUUAAAUUUAAUUAAAACAUUUUAAAACAUUUUGUGUUUUCAUUACCCUGGCACUGGUUAAUGUGUACCUUUAGGUUUGUGACGACAUUAUUAAUGAUUUCACACCCAUGUGGCAUAUCGUUGGAAAGGGUAUUAAGUAGGCAUUUUUUUUUUAUUAAAUGAAGUUCAUAAAAGCUUUUACUUUUUUUUAUAAUUAAUUUUGAAUUUGACAUUUUUCAUACGUUUUUUCAUUUUUAAGACUUUGGAAGCUCAACAAGUAUUUUUUUUCCAUCUAGUGCUAUGAAUUUAUGUUUUAUUUGGAAUAAUAAUACAUCAGAGAACGCAAUGAAAGUGAUUUGGUGUAAAUUCGACAACAGACUGAAAAGUUAUAGCGUUUUAAAGGUGAUAGUUCCGGUAAUUUUUAAAAACAAACAAAAAAAAUCGUAUCUCGAAUACAGUGACAUAUAGGACAUUGGGUCUAUGAGUGAAAACUAGUACAUGGCCUCACGAAUCCCCCAAAAAAUUGUGUCGGUCCAUGCGCCAAACACCCUGUAUAAUCUGAAAUCACCAACCCGCAUUGAGCAAGCGUGGUGAUUAAUGCUCAAUCCUUCUCCGUGUGAGAGGAGGCCUGUGCCCAGCAGUGGGACGAUAAAUAGGCUG